UACGUAGGGUGCGAGCGUUGUCCGGAAUUAUUGGGCGUAAAGAGCUCGUAGGUGGCUUGUCACGUCGGGUGUGAAAGCUUGGGGCUUAACUCCAGGUCUGCAUUCGAUACGGGCUGGCUAGAGGUAGGUAGGGGAGAACGGAAUUCCUGGUGUAGCGGUGAAAUGCGCAGAAAUCAGGAGGAACACCGGUGGCGAAGGCGGUUCUCUGGGCCUUACCUGACGCUGAGGAGCGAAAGCGUGGGGAGCGAACAGG
rnacentral:rRNA from 1 species